ACACGACUACAUUAGAUACCCGUGUAGUCCUAGCCGUAAACGAUACUCGCUAGGUGUCGGCCACGGUGCGACCGUUGUCGGUGCCGUAGGGAAACCGUGAAGCGAGCCACCUGGGAAGUACGGCUGCAAGGCUGAAACUUAAAGGAAUUGGCGGGGGAGCACCACAACGGGUGGAGCUUGCGGUUUAAUUGGAUUCAACGCCGGAAAUCUUACCGGGACCGACAGCAACAUGAAGGCCAGGCUGAAGACUUUGCCGGAUUAGCUG
rnacentral:rRNA from 1 species